CAGGAAGGUACUGGGGGUGGCAUCUAGACAGAGGAAGGAAGACCAGGAGACCUGGUGGUGGAAUGAAGAUCUUAAUGAAAGAAUAAGGA